GACGAACGCUGGCGGCGUGCUUAACACAUGCAAGUCGAACGGAAAGGCCCUGCUUUUGUGGGGUGCUCGAGUGGCGAACGGGUGAGUAACACGUGAGUAACCUGCCCUUGACUUUGGGAUAACUUCAGGAAACUGGGGCUAAUACCGGAUAGGAGCUCCUGCUGCAUGGUGGGGGUUGGAAAGUUUCGGCGGUUGGGGAUGGACUCGCGGCUUAUCAGCUUGUUGGUGGGGUAGUGGCUUACCAAGGCUUUGACGGGUAGCCGGCCUGAGAGGGUGACCGGCCACAGUGGGACAGAGAUACGGCCCAGACGCCUACGGGAGGCAGCAGUGGGGAAUAGUGCACAAUGGGCGGAGGCCUGAUGGAGGAACGCCGCGUGCGGGAUGGCGGCCUUCGGGUAGGAAACCGCUUUCGCCUGUAACGAAGCGUGAGUGACGGUAAUGGGUAAAGAAGCACCGGCUAACUACGU
rnacentral:rRNA from 1 species